rnacentral:rRNA from 1 species
GCCUGCCCCAUUUGUWWUCUAYAGAAKUGUUCUCCGCGCUGGACCGUGUACAAGUCUCCUGGAAUGGAGCGUCAUAGAGGGUGAGAAUCCCGUCUUUGACACGGACUGCCAGGGCUUUGUGAUGCGCUCUCAAAGAGUCGAGUUGUUUGGGAAUGCAGCUCUAAAUGGGUGGUAAAUUCCAUCUAAAGCUAAAUAUUGGCGAGAGACCGAUAGCGAACAAGUACCGUGAGGGAAAGAUGAAAAGAACUUUGGAAAGAGAGUUAAACAGUACGUGAAAUUGUUGAAAGGGAAACGCUUGAAGUCAGUCGCGUUGGCCGGGGAUCAACCUUGCUUUUCUGCUUGGUGUACUUCCUGGUUGAUGGGUCAGCAUCAAUUUUGACCAGUGGAAAAAGGUCAGGGGAAUGUGGCAUCUUCGGAUGUGUUAUAGCCCUUGGUUGCAUACAYUGGUUGGGAUUGAGGAACUCAGCACGCCGCAAGGCCGGGUUUUUACCACGUUCGUGCUUAGGAUGCUGGCAUAAUGGCUUUAAUCGACCCGUCUUGAAACACGGACCAAGGAGUCUAACAUGCCUGCAAGUGUUUGGGUGGAAAACCCAAGCGCGUAAUGAAAGUGAAAGUUGGGAUCCCUGUCGUGGGGAGCACCGACGCCCGGACCAGACCUUCUGUGACGGUUCCGCGGUGGAGCAUGUAUGUUGGGACCCGAAAGACGGUGA